GUGCUACUGGCCCAAUGGAUAAGGCGCCUGCCUUCGGAGCAGGAGAUUUCAUGUUCGAGUCCUGAGUGGCACG